GGGAAGCAGCAUUAAGGUGGAUUUUGAAAAGUUUGAUGGGAAGGGGAGCAUCUCAAUGUGCAACGUGAGAGUGGAAGAUCUUCUAGUUUAGCAUGAACUGGAUCUAGCAUUGGAGGAAACAUCGAAUGGAAUGCCAGACCGAUAAUGGAUGUCUUUGGAAAAGAGGGCAUGUGCUGCUAUUAGGGGUUGUUUGGCUAAUGCAGCC
rnacentral:lncRNA from 1 species